AUUGAACGCUGGCGGCAGGCUUAACACAUGCAAGUCGAGCGGAGAUGAGGUGCUUGCACCUUAUCUUAGCGGCGGACGGGUGAGUAAUGCUUAGGAAUCUGCCUAUUAGUGGGGGACAACAUUCCGAAAGGAAUGCUAAUACCGCAUACGUCCUACGGGAGAAAGCAGGGGAUCUUCGGACCUUGCGCUAAUAGAUGAGCCUAAGUCGGAUUAGCUAGUUGGUGGGGUAAAGGCCUACCAAGGCGACGAUCUGUAGCGGGUCUGAGAGGAUGAUCCGCCACACUGGGACUGAGACACGGCCCAGACUCCUACGGGAGGCAGCAGUGGGGAAUAUUGGACAAUGGGAGGAACCCUGAUCCAGCCAUGCCGCGUGUGUGAAGAAGGCCUUAUGGUUGUAAAGCACUUUAAGCGAGGAGGAGGCUACUGAGACUAAUACUCUUGGAUAGUGGACGUUACUCGCAGAAUAAGCACCGGCUAACUCUGUGCCAGCAGCCGCGGUAA
rnacentral:rRNA from 1 species